rnacentral:misc_RNA from 1 species
AAGUGACCCAGAGCAUUACAAAAGCCAGGUCAUACGAGAGAUUCAUGUGAACUUAGGUUUAGGCAUGGGGGAGCUACUAGGAUGCACGGGACCAAGCUUUUGAAUCCAAUGAAGAAGACCUUUCUUAUGAUCUUGACAAGUUGGGUUUUUUACCAAAUUCAGGGUUCCAUCACAGGCAAGCGAAGACUCAAAUUGCUCUAAUACCUUCACAAUUUGCCAAAACUCGGGCCUCUUCUCAGGAUGCAAACACCAGCAUUGCUCGAUUAAAGCUCGCAUGGCAGGAGGGCAGUCCCGAGGAAUAACAGGUCUCAAAUUCUUAUUCACUACUGCAAAAGCAGCUUGUAUGGGAUUCAUAUCCUCAUAGGGAAUUGUUCCAGCCACCAUUUCCCAUAAAAUGAGCCCAAAACUGUACACAUCAACCCUUCUGCCAUAGAAUUUCUUUUUUAUCAUCUCAGGCGCCAUCCAUCUGUAAGUCCCUGGGUCAUCAGCCAAUGAAUCACAAUAUGCCUCUUCACAAGCUAUGCCAAAAUCGGCAAUCUUCAGAUGAAACUCUUGAUCAAUAAGAACAUUCUCCGGUUUAAGAUCUCGAUGAAUGACACCUUGAGAGUGGAUGUAUUCCAUUCCACGAGCAAUGUCCAGAGCAUUUGCAAUUAGCCUCUGUAAGGGGAGAGACUUAUGCUUGAGCUUGUGCAAGUAUGCCCUCAAGGAACCUUCAGAUAAAUAUUCUGUUAUAACACAAUAAACUGGUGGCUUUUUGCAUGCUGCUACAAACUUUAUAACAUUCCGGUGGUGAAGCCGAGAUAAAAGGGUGACUUCUCUGCUAUAUUGAUUCUUCAAUCUAGCAGCUAAGGUCCCAUUUUCGUCAUCAUCUGGUGCCCUGAUAAUUUUAACUGCAACAGGCUCAUCUUUGUAUACACCAUGGUAAAGCUUGCUAUGUGCCCCAUGAGCAAAUCUAAGCCCGAGAAAAAGUUUAGACAUAUCCACACGAAAUUCAUCAGCAGCUUCCACAGCAUUAACCCUUCCUCCACCAUGGUCAAAAUACUUUGUCCAACCAGAGUCCUUCUUGACCUUUGAUUUUUCAUGGCCCUCCAUUAAAGCCAAGUGCUGGAGUGGGCCUGUAUUUGAUGUAGGACUGGAUGGCUCGGUUUCUGGAAAUUCCUUGUGAAGAAACUUUCCCAUGAUUUUCUUCUCCUGAUCUUU